rnacentral:rRNA from 1 species
UAAAGAUUCAUCGCUGAUAGAUAGGCAUGCGUUCCAUUAGGCAGUUGGCGGGGUAACGGCCCACCAAACCGACGAUGGAUAGGGGUUCUGAGAGGAAGGUCCCCCACAUUGGUACUGAGACACGGACCAAACUCCUACGGGAGGCAGCAGUGAGGAAUAUUGGUCAAUGGGCGUAAGCCUGAACCAGCCAAGUCGCGUGGGGGAUGAAGGUUCUAUGGAUCGUAAACCUCUUUUAUAAGGGAAUAAAGUGCGGGACGUGUCCCGUUUUGUAUGUACCUUAUGAAUAAGGAUCGGCUAACUCCGUGCCAGCAGCCGCGGUAAUACGGAGGAUCCGAGCGUUAUCCGGAUUUAUUGGGUUUAAAGGGUGCGUAGGCGGCCUUUUAAGUCAGCGGUGAAAGUCUGUGGCUCAACCAUAGAAUUGCCGUUGAAACUGGGAGGCUUGAGUAUGUUUGAGGCAGGCGGAAUGCGUGGUGUAGCGGUGAAAUGCUUAGAUAUCACGCAGAACCCCGAUUGCGAAGGCAGCCUGCCAAGCCAUGACUGACGCUGAUGCACGAAAGCGUGGGGAUCAAACAGGAUUAGAUACCCUGGUAGUCCACGCAGUAAACGAUGAUCACUAGCUGUUUGCGAUACACAGUAA